AUUGAACGCUGGCGGCAGGCUUAACACAUGCAAGUCGAGCGGUAGCACAGGGGAGCUUGCUCCCUGGGUGACGAGCGGCGGACGGGUGAGUAAUGUCUGGGAAACUGCCUGAUGGAGGGGGAUAACUACUGGAAACGGUAGCUAAUACCGCAUAACGUCGCAAGACCAAAGAGGGGGACCUUCGGGCCUCUUGCCAUCAGAUGUGCCCAGAUGGGAUUAGCUAGUAGGUGGGGUAAUGGCUCACCUAGGCGACGAUCCCUAGCUGGUCUGAGAGGAUGACCAGCCACACUGGAACUGAGACACGGUCCAGACUCCUACGGGAGGCAGCAGUGGGGAAUAUUGCACAAUGGGCGCAAGCCUGAUGCAGCCAUGCCGCGUGUGUGAAGAAGGCCUUCGGGUUGUAAAACACUUUCAGCGAGGAGGAAGGUGGUGAGCUUAAUACGUUCAUCAAUUGACGUUACUCGCAGAAGAAGCACCGGCUAACUCCGUG
rnacentral:rRNA from 1 species